rnacentral:rRNA from 1 species
CAGCAGCCACGGGAAUACGAAGGGGGCUAGCGUUGUUCGGAAUUACUGGGCGUAAAGCGCACGUAGGCGGAUAUUUAAGUCAGGGGUGAAAUCCCGCAGCUCAACUGCGGAACUGCCUUUGAUACUGGGUAUCUUGAGUAUGGAAGAGGUUAGUGGAAUUGCGAGUGUAGAGGUGAAAUUCGUAGAUAUUCGCAGGAACACCAGUGGCGAAGGCGGCUAACUGGUCCAUAACUGACGCUGAGGUGCGAAAGCGUGGGGAGCAAACAGGAUUAGAUACCCGCGUAGUCCCUGUCUCUUAUAC